AAUGGUGCUGUGACUCAAAGUGGUGUAGCACUAGCCUCAAGCACAAAAGCUCAAGGACAGUGCGUAGGCCCUGGGUUCAAGCCCCAGGAUGGGCACCAAAAACAGGAAAAAAAAAUCUUAGGCCUUUCCCUCACAAAAGCUCCAAUGAAAAACCCACACAAUGGUGGAGCUUUGAGAAGCACUCAUUACAAAACAUUUACUAGGCUGGGAAUAUGGCUUAGUGGCAAG